rnacentral:rRNA from 1 species
UCAGACGAUGCGUCAUGCAUAUCAAUAAGCGGAGGAAAAGAAGCUAACAAGGAUUCCCUUAGUAACGGCGAGUGAAGCGGGAAGAGCUCAAAUUUGAAAUCUUCAAGGUUUUACCUUGACGAAUUGUAGUUUAAAGAAGUGUUUUCUGUUAGUGGAGUGGCAAAAGUUCUUUGGAAUAGGACAUCAUAGAGGGUGAGAAUCCCGUAUUUGGUCAUUCCUUCUAGCUUUGUGAUACACUUUCAAAGAGUCGGAUUGUUUGGGAAUGCAGUCCAAAAUGGGUGGUAAAUUUCAUCUAAAGCUAAAUAUUGGCGAGAGACCGAUAGCGAACAAGUACCGUGAGGGAAAGAUGAAAAGAACUUUGAAAAGAGAGUUAAACAGUACGUGAAAUUGUCAAAAGGGAAGCGUUUGACACCAGUGUUGUUUUUCCUCGAAAAUCAAUUAAAAAGAGUUGGAUUCAUGCAAUGUUGUAUUGACCUUAUCAGCUUGCAAUUUGGUUUUGGGUUCUUUUUUGAUGCACUUUUCGGUUAACAAGUCAACAUCAAUUUCCUUUGCUGUAAAAGGGCAGAAGGAAGGUGGCUUCAAUUUCGGUUGAAGUGUUUAUAGCCUUUUGUCCUCUGCAGGUCGGAGAGACUUGAGGUCUGCAGCGUAGAUCCUUCGGGGUUAGAUACAUUUGUGCUAAGCUACAGCUUUUCAUAGACAACUUGUUGACUAUGUUUAGUCUUGUAACUUACCCGCUUAUGCUAUUUUACCUACGCUUAGGAUGUUGAUAUGCAUGACUGAUAUA